CUUGUGUUUUCUAUAUUUAUAUAGAAUUACGAGUGCAAUGAAAGUGAGUAGAGGUUGAGAGGGCGAGUAACGAAGAGUAUGGGUAGUUAAUCGUUAAAACGAGACGAAACGAGAUAUUUAACGACUAACGGGUUAAUAUCCUAAAUAUCUAACCUACCCUACCCCUAACCACCCCCCCAACUGCCCACUAUCCCUCUAUCUCACCUAACUCACGCUGCACACACAACACACACACUAAUUUGUGCUGCACACACACUAAAACACAUUAGAAACACACACACUUCACGUUAACACCAUUUCUUUGGUGUUCAAGCUUUUGACCUCCGAUUUGAGCACCGAGACGAGCGCCGAUCAUCUUUUCGAUCACGUAUCUAAGUAGGUCCUUUUGGGAAGUAACGACUUGAGGGAGAGAGUGACGUUACUCAUUGAUACAGAGACACAACGAGGUUGAGCUGAUGUGAUGAUGGUGCUGCAAUGAGCGGAGUCUCCAGGGUUGUUAAUAAAUAGUUAACCUGUCUAGAAUAUGUCUUCAUACAUAUGUCUAGCUACUUUCCGCUGCAAGAUGUUGUUGAUGUUAUAGUAUGUUAUGUCAUACUUUGAGUCUUAAGAGAAUGGUUGCAUAUGAUGUAUAACUUGAUUAAUGAUAUUAAUUAACUUUUAUGCAGUCUUUCAUAGACUGUUUUCAAUUGAGUAUUAAUGAAUAAAAAUGACGAGUUUUAUUAA